GAAGGGUGGUGUUUAUUAGAAUUUUCAAACCAAUGAUGAAGUUUACUUCAUGUUUGAUGACUCAUGAUAAAUUUACGAAUCGCAAGACUUUAUGUUGGCGAUGUAUCAAUUAAAUUUCUGCACUAUUAACUUUUGAUGUAAGUGUAUUGUACUUACAUGGUUUUGAUGGUUAACGGAGGAUUAGGGUUUGAUUCCGGAGAGGGAGCCUGAGGAAUGGCUACCACAUCCAAGGAAGGCAGCAGGCGCGCAAAUUACCCAAUCUCAAUACGAGGAGGUAGUGACAAUAAAUAACAAUGCAGGGCUUUUUAAGUCUUGCAAUUGGAAUGAGUACAAUUUAAAACCCUUAACGAGAAACAAUUGGAGGGCAAGUCUGGUGCCAGCAGCCGCGGUAAUUCCAGCUCCAAUAGCGUAUAUUUAUGUUGUUGCAGUUGAAAAGCUCGUAGUUGGAUUUGAGGUUUAGGGAUAUGGUCUCAUCUUCGGAUGUUGUACUGUAUUUCUUUAUCUUUUACAUGAGAAGGUAUUCUGUUCUUUAUUGGAUGGUUUAUUGACUCAUGUCUUUUACUUUGAAAAAAUUAGAGUGUUCAAAGCAGGCUUAUGCCUUGAAUACAUUAGCAUGGAAUAAUAAGAUAGGACUUUUGUCUAUUUUGUUGGUUUUUAUGGACUGAAGUAAUGAUUAAUAGGGGCAGUUGGGGACAUUAAUAUUUAAUUGUCAGAGGUGAAAUUCUUGGAUUUAUUAAAGAUUAACUACUGCGAAAGCAUUUGUCAAGGAUGUUUUCAUUAAUCAAGAACGAAAGUUGGGGGAUCGAAGACGAUCAGAUACCGUCGUAGUCUCAACCAUAAACUAUGCCGACGAGAAAUUAGUGAAUGUUUAUUCAUUGACUUCAUUAGCUUCUUCCGAGAAAUCAAAGUUUUUGGGUUCUGGGGGGAGUAUGGUCGCAAGGCUGAAACUUAAAGGAAUUGACGGAAGGGCACCACCAGGAGUGGAGCCUGCGGCUUAAUUUGACACAACACGGGAAAACUUACCAGGUCCAGACAUAAGAAGGAUUGACAGAUUGAGAGCUCUUUCUUGAUUUUAUGGGUGGUGGUGCAUGGCCGUUCUUAGUUGGUGGAGUGAUUUGUCUGCUUAAUUGCGAUAACGAACGAGACCUUAACCUACUAAAUAGCUAC
rnacentral:rRNA from 1 species